AAUCUUGCGCAAUGGGCAAAAGCCUGACGCAGCCAUGCCGCGUGAAUGAUGAAGGUCUUAGGAUUGUAAAAUUCUUUCACCGGGGACGAUAAUGACGGUACCCGGAGAAGAAUCCCCGGCUAACUUAGUUCCAGCAGCCGCGGUAAGACGAAGGGGGCUAGCGUUGCUCGGAAUUACUGGGCGGAAAGGGCGCGUAGGCGGAUCUUCAAGUCAGGGGUGAAAUCCCGGGGCUCAACCUCGGAACUGCCCUUGAUACUGGCGAUCUUGAGUAUGAGAGAGGUAUGUGGAACUCCGAGUGUAGAGGUGAAAUUCGUAGAUAUUCGGAAGAACACCAGUGGCGAAGGCGACAUACUGGCUCAUUACUGACGCUGAGGCGCGAAAGCGUGGGGAGCAAACA
rnacentral:rRNA from 1 species